rnacentral:lncRNA from 1 species
AGGACAUGUGCAAGUACCGGAAGUGUGUUUCAGUUUCCGAAAAAAAAUUCAGGGAAUCUAGGGACUGCCUGUAGGCGCAGUUAGAACCCGAUUUCAGACUCCGAAACAAGUAAGGAUCUCUCAUCCUAUUUCCUAUCACGGUAUUAAAGUCUAGUAAAUGAUAAAACGGUAUUUUAUGAGUUCAUGGAUAUAUACAAUUAAUUAAGAUUGCUAAUGGAGCCCAAAUCUGAUAUAUUUGUCGGUCUGUUCCUAUUUGAUGUAUUUUACAGUUUAAAUACAGUAUAGUAUUUGAUUGUUUAUUAUGUGGUUUCGUAUGCAUGAAU